rnacentral:lncRNA from 1 species
UGCAACAUGCCAAGCUGCAUGUGCGUGAGUCACUGCCCAGCCGGCAGGCCAAGGAACCUUUCAGGGGUGGCAGCCCCGUCUUAGAUGUUAGCACCCUCGUCUAUCCCUCCUAUGGAGACUCCUCAGGCCUCAAUACCUGCGUUCACUGUGGCUUCACAGCACCUAGCAAGAGUCUGCUCAGGGAGCACAUGAGGCUAGUACAUGCCCAGGCCCACUGGGAGGAGGAUGGAGAGGCCUUUGAGGA